AGCCGCCGCGGUAACACCGGCGGCCCGAGUGGUGAUCGUGAUAUUGGGUCUAAAGGGUCCGUAGCCGGUUUGGUCAGUCCUCCGGGAAAUCUGAUAGCUCAACUAUUAGGCUUUCGGGGGAUACUGCCAGACUUGGAACCGGGAGAGGUAAGAGGUACUACAGGGGUAGGAGUGAAAUCUUGUAAUCCCUGUGGGACCACCUGUGGCGAAGGCGUCUUACCAGAACGGGUUCGACGGUGAGGGACGAAAGCUGGGGGCACGAACCGGAUUAGAUACCCGGGUAGUCCCAGCCGUAAACGAUGCUCGCUAGGUGUCAGGCAUGGCGCGACCGUGUCUGGUGCCGCAGGGAAGCCGUGAAGCGAGCCACCUGGGAAGUACGGCCGCAAGGCUGAAACUUAAAGGAAUUGGCGGGGGAGCACAACAACGGGUGGAAGCCUGCGGUUUAAUUGGACUCAACGCCGGACAACUCACCGGGGGCGACAGCAAUAUGUAGGCCAAGCUGAAGACUUUGCCUGAAUCGCUGAGAAGAGGUGCAUGG
rnacentral:rRNA from 1 species